rnacentral:misc_RNA from 1 species
GUGCCGCCUCUCUCUUUUGUAAGCUACCCGUAUCUGCCAUGUGCUCUCCCUUUCCCAACCAGAGAACACCACCAACUCCUCCCCGCAGCACUGACAAAUGGCCCUCCCCUGCGACACAGACAAAACACCCGCCUCUGCUACGUCGACAAAUCGUAUCCCUUGCGACACUGACAUGACCAUAGCUAAAUUCUGGAUGGAAAAAUAGUGAUAUGUUUCUUCAUGUAGUUUUUUGAAGAAAAAUGAUUCAAAUCAGCUUUAGAGAGUGAUGCCAUCUCCAUCUCCAUCUCUGGAGAGGCAUCGUCCAGAUUUGAGAGGGAUUUCUCGUUCUACUUCGAUUGUUGGGAGGGAUUUCUCCAACCGUCGGGACGGAUUUCUCGAACCGUUGGGACAGAGACCAAGUGGUUAAUGUUAAAGUUGUGAUCUAAUGCAUGUGACUAUUUUCAAUUCUUGAUUCACUGCUCCUAAAUUUGAAACAAAAUUUGAAACUAUUGAAGGCUAAGGGUUUUCGCAUUCUGUUGAAUUUUAUGUAUAACAUAUAUGGCUCCAUUUCGGCUACAAGAUAACAAUGAUUAAUAGAAAAAUGAAAAGAUUUCAUUGUAUUGACAAUCUUACAGAGAAAAUGAGAAAAUUAUAAGGUCCAAUGUUGGAACGAAAGUUAAAUUUCUCAGGUUCAACGUUUCUUUUGGAUUUCAGCUAUUUCAUGUGAU